GAUGAACGCUGGCGGCGUGCCUAAUACACGCAAGUCGAGCGAACGGACGAGAAGCUUGCUUCUCUGAUGUUAGCGGCGGACGGGUGAGUAACACGUGGAUAACCUACCUAUAAGACUGGAAUAACUUCGGGAAACCGGAGCUAAUACCGGAUAAUAUUUUGAACCGCAUGGUUCAAAAGUGAAAGACGGUCUUGCUGUCACUUAUAGAUGGAUCCGCGCUGCAUUAGCUAGUUGGUAAGGUAACGGCUUACCAAGGCAACGAUGCAUAGCCGACCUGAGAGGGUGAUCGGCCACACUGGAACUGAGACACGGUCCAGACUCCUACGGGAGGCAGCAGUAGGGAAUCUUCCGCAAUGGGCGAAAGCCUGACGGAGCAACGCCGCGUGAGUGAUGAAGGUCUUCGGAUCGUAAAACUCUGUUAUUAGGGAAGAACAUAUGUGUAAGUAACUGUGCACAUCUUGACGGUACCUAAUCAGAAAGCCACGGCUAACUACGUG
rnacentral:rRNA from 1 species